UACAGAGGUCUCAAGCGUUGUUCGGAUUCAUUGGGCGUAAAGGGUGUGUAGGUGGCGCGCUAAGUCGGGUGUGAAAUUUCGGAGCUUAACUCCGAAACUGCAUUCGAUACUGGCGUGCUUGAGGACUGGAGAGGAGACUGGAAUUUACGGUGUAGCAGUGAAAUGCGUAGAUAUCGUAAGGAAGACCAGUGGCGAAGGCGGGUCUCUGGACAGUCCUGACACUGAGACACGAAGGCCAGGGAGCAAACGGAUU
rnacentral:rRNA from 1 species